GGAGAAGUCGCCUAGUGGCUGAGGGCGGCGGUUUGCUAAACCGCUAUAGGCUGUAAAGGCCUAUCGAGGGUUCGAAUCCCUCCUUCUCCGCCA
rnacentral:tRNA from 1 species